GUUAUAGGGUCAAGCGAACAAGUGCAUGUGGUGGAUGCCUUGGCGAUCACAGGCGAUGAAGGACGCGGUAGCCUGCGAAAAGCUACGGGGAGCUGGCAAACGAGCUUUGAUCCGUAGAUGUCCGAAUGGGGAAACCCACUCCUUUUGGAGUAUCCAUGGCUGAAUACAUAGGCCAUGCGAAGCGAACGCGGUGAACUGAAACAUCUAAGUAACCGCAGGAAAAGAAAUCAACCGAGAUUCCCAAAGUAGUGGCGAGCGAAAUGGGAUGAGCCUUGCACUCUUUAUUUGUAUUGUUAGCCGAACGCUCUGGAAAGUGCGGCCAUAGCAGGUGAUAGCCCUGUAGGCGAAAACAGUAUGAAAGAACUAGGUGUGCGACAAGUAGGGCGGGACACGUGAAAUCCUGUCUGAAGAUGGGGGACCAUCCUCCAAGGCUAAAUACUCGUGAUCGACCGAUAGUGAACCAGUACCGUGAGGGAAAGGCGAAAAGAACCC
rnacentral:rRNA from 1 species